GUUUUUAUGCCCCACCUACGAUAGUAGAGGGGCAUUAUGUUUUCUGGUCUGUGCGUCCGUUCGUCCGUUCGUUCGUCCGUUCGUUCGUCCGUUCGUUCGUCCGUCUGUCCCGCUUCAGGUUAAAGUUUUUGGUCGAGGUAGUUUUUGAUGAAGUUGAAGUCCAAUCGACUUUAAACUUGGUACACAUGUGCCCUAUGAUAUGAUCUUUCUAAUUUAAAUGCCAAAUUAGAGUUUUGACCCCAAUUUUACGGUUCACUGAACAUAGAAAAUGAUAGUGCAAAUUUUCAGGUUAAAGUUUUUGGUUCAGGUUAAAGUUUUUGUCAAGGUAGUUUUUGAUGAAGUUGAAGUCCAAUCAACUUGAAACUUAGUAUACAUGUGCCCUAUGAUAUGAUCUUUCUAAUUUAAAUGCCAAAUUAGAGUUUUGACCCCAAUUUUACGGUUCACUGAACAUAGAAAAUGAUAGUGCAAAUUUCAGGUUAAAGUUUUUGGCUUCAGGUUAAAGUUUUUGGUCAAGGUAGUUUUUGAUGAAGUUGAAGUCUAAUCAACUUGAAACUUAGUAUACAUGUGCCCUAUGAUAUGAUCUUUCUAAUUUAAAUGCCAAAUUAGAGUUUUGACCCCAAUUUUACGGUUCACUG
rnacentral:lncRNA from 1 species